UGCAGCUCCUGCUCCUUCCCCCUCCUCGGAGCGGGGUUUGGUGCCAGCCCCUCAGGCCUGGGAAGGUUCAGGAUAUGGAAACCAUUCCUGCUCCACGGGAUAUUCCCUGCUUCGCUCUGUUUUCCUCUCCAUUUAUCCCAAACCUCAUCCCUGUUGCUCCUGUGCACCGCUGGCACCCCAAGGCAGGAUUAUUGACUCCAUGCUGUGGGAAUUCACCUCCUGAACACCUGCACCAGGCUGUGCCGUGCCUGUCCUGCCUCUCAGUCCAAUUCCAUGUUGCUUUUAUUAUCGUAAAGCCCAGCGAGUUUAAUGAGCUGUGUUGUGCUGAAUUGCUUCCAGACCGGAGGUGAAGAGCAGGAAGAUCCCAGGCAUUGGCAAACCAGGGUGGGAAGGGCUGGUGCUGCACCUCGGCUUCUCCCGUUCAUUGAUUAUGAAAAGUCUUUGCUCCGAGCUUGGUGCUGACUCCAAAGUGGAAAGGCAGCGCUGAUCCCACUGUCCCGACCAAGGGAGGCACCAGAAUCUUGGGAUAUUCCGUCUGGGAAGCCCAGCUGGUGCCACGGGGUGCAGGGCUCAGAGCUCUGAAUUUCUCGUGACACCAGAAUUAUCUCCCUGACAUUGUACCUGCACGCAAAGGCUGCAGCAGCAAUUCCACGUUCUUAUAAUCCCCCUGCUCGGAUAAAAAUCAGAUGGGAACAAAUGUGCAGCACACGAGGACUAAAGAC